CCAGACUCCUACGGGAGGCAGCAGUAGGGAAUCUUCCGCAAUGGACGAAGUCUGACGGAGCAACGCCGCGUGAGUGAUGAAAGGUUUCGGAUCGUAAAGCUCUGUUGUUAGGGAAGAACAAGUGCCGUUCGAAUAGGGCGGCACCUUGACGGUACCUAACCAGAAAGCCACGGCUAACUACGUGCCAGCAGCCGCGGUAAUACGUAGGUGGCAAGCGUUGUCCGGAAUUAUUGGGCGUAAAGCGCGCGCAGGUGGUUYCUUAAGUCUGAUGUGAAAGCCCACGGCUCAACCGUGGAGGGUCAUUGGAAACUGGGGAACUUGAGUGCAGAAGAGGAAAGUGGAAUUCCAAGUGUAGCGGUGAAAUGCGUAGAUAUUUGGAGGAACACCAGUGGCGAAGGCGACUUUCUGGUCUGUAACUGACACUGAGGCGCGAAAGCGUGGGGAGCAAACAGGAUUAGAUACCCUGGUAGUCCACGCCGUAAACGAUGAGUGCUAAGUGUUAGGGGGUUUCCGCCCCUUAGUGCUGCAGCUAACGCAUUAAGCACUCCGCCUGGGGAGUACGGUCGCAAGACUGAAACUCAAAGGAAUUGACGGGGGCCCGCACAAGCGGUGGAGCAUGUGGUUUAAUUYGAAGCAACGCGAAGAACCUUACCAGGUCUUGACAUCCUCUGACAACCCUAGAGAUAGGGCUUUCCCCUUCGGGGGACAGAGUGACAGGUGGUGCAUGGUUGUCGUCAGCUCGUGUCGUGAGAUGUUGGGUUAAGUCCCGCAACGAGCGCAACCCUUGAUCUUAGUUGCCAGCAUUCAGUUGGGCACUCUAAGAUGACUGCCGGUGACAAACCGGAGGAAGGUGGGGAUGACGUCAAAUCAUCAUGCCCCUUAUGACCUGGGCUACACACGUGCUACAAUGGACGGUACAAAGGGCAGCAAGACCGCGAGGUUUAGCCAAUCCCAUAAAACCGUUCUCAGUUCGGAUUGCAGGCUGCAACUCGCCUGCAUGAAGCUGGAAUCGCUAGUAAUCGCGGAU
rnacentral:rRNA from 2 species